rnacentral:rRNA from 1 species
CCUACGGGACGCAGCAGUGGGGAAUAUUGCACAAUGGGGGAAACCCUGAUGCAGCGACGCCGCGUGAGUGAAGAAGUAUUUCGGUAUGUAAAGCUCUAUCAGCAGGGAAGAAAAUGACGGUACCUGACUAAGAAGCCCCGGCUAACUACGUGCCAGCAGCCGCGGUAAUACGUAGGGGGCAAGCGUUAUCCGGAUUUACUGGGUGUAAAGGGAGCGUAGACGGCGGAACAAGUCAGAAGUGAAAACCCGGGGCUCAACCCUGGGAGUGCUUUUGAAACUGUUUGGCUGGAGUGCAGGAGAGGUAA